ensembl:lncRNA
GAAGUGCCCACCUAACACCCACUGCAAUUCUCGGUCACUUGCCGAGGCUGACGGGGCUGGGGUCACCGCCUUGAGGCUAUGCAGCCCCCUCCUCCUGCUGAGGAGGUCCAGCCAGGAGCAGGGGAUGUGCAGACGGGGAGGGGGCAGAGAUGGGAGUUGCAGGGCGGCAAGGGGAGCUCCGUGGGGCCCUCAGGACCAGCUGUUGGGUCCUGCGGUGCCCACGUGGAGUUGCACCUCCCAGGAGCUGCUGAAAGCCCGCCUGAUGCUGUGAGGGUCUUGGCACAAACCAGGCCUCUCCCUGGGGGUUGACACAGGCCCCCCGGGGGAGAAAGCAGGGGAGGAUGUGGAGCCUCCAGGCUGAGCAGUGGCUCGAGAGGCCACCUUGCCUGCCUCCCCCCCCAGGGUCACCGGGAACCUCCCUCCCACGCACACCCUCUGCGGUUGCGGCCUCCCUGUCUCCCUGGUGCCCCGAGGGGCCAUGUGCCCUCGGGGAUGACUACCGGGCCAUCAGCGAGAGCAAGCAGCUGCCGAGCACUAAACCCCGUUUCUGGCCGUGAAGAGCAGGUCCUCCGAAGAACCUGGGCAUCCGGGCACUGUUACCAGGACAAAGGCAUCGAUCUCGGCUGAGAGAACGCUGAGAUGUAUUGACAGAGAGGUUUGCAUCGAUCCAGCAGGAAGUAAGUUCCAGCCUCUGCAGGUGGAAGAGACACUUGUCUGCUCAGCAGUGCCAGAAGCGCUGGUUUGAUGGAGGGGAGGAAGCUGAGAUGACCCCAGGGAGACAGGACAAGGAGGACAGCGGUGUGUGGUCACCUGCCCGGGAAUGAGACCCACUCCGUACGAGAGACGAGGGGGCUACAGACGACGGGGAGGCUCGGGGCUCCGAGGCUGCAGGACCCCCGGCCUGGGGUCACCGAGACAGCCUCCUUCCCCAGGAUGAGCAGAGCGGCUGCAGAGUGGUGGGGAGAGGCCGCCCACGGAGGGGUGGGCGUGGACACGGCAUGGCCCUGCCUGGCCCACCCACAGGGAGACACGCGGUGGAGCCCCCGGGGGUCUCCCAGGACCAGCUCCUCCCACCCCGACCUCAGGGGAAGAGCUGUGGUCAUGGAAACCGCUCCAUCGUCUGAAUUUCAGAGCUGGGAAUAUUUGAGUCAAUCAAGAAAUUCAAUUAGCGGAGUGACAUGUUGUCACGCGUGGCUCUGCCGCCCCGCUUCCCAUUUUCCGGGAGAUAAUUGGUGUAUUUGCGACAAAACUGCAAUUCAAUAUUUAUCGGCUGCUGCUUUUCAAUAAAG